rnacentral:misc_RNA from 1 species
GAAAUGCGAUACCUGGUGUGAAUUGCAGAAUCCCGCGAACCAUCGAGUCUUUGAACGCAAGUUGCGCCCGAGGCCACUCGGCCGAGGGCACGCCUGCCUGGGCGUCACGCCAAAACACGCUCCCACACCCCUCAUUGGGAAUCGGGAUGCGGCAUCUGGUCCCUCGUCUCGCAAGGGGCGGUGGACCGAAGUUCGGGCUGCCGGCGUACCGUGUCAAACACAGCGCGUGGUGGGCGUCUUUGCUUUAUCAACGCAGUGCAUACGACGCGUAGCCGGCAUGAUGGCCUCAAAACGACCCAACAAACGUAGCGCACGUCGCUUCGACCGCGACCCCAGGUCAGGCGGGACUACCCGCUGAGUUUAA